rnacentral:lncRNA from 1 species
CCACUAUUUUAGUCGAAUUGGUAGCCUCUAUCUCCAAUCCAAGAAAUUACUCUAAUUUCUUAGCAGGUACUAGAAUCCACACAGUUGUAUAUGAGCCCGACUUUGGCCAACUCACCUAUGUACAUCUAUGGAUAGAUUCUUAACUAAUUAUUUCAGCAAAUAAUUUUUAGUAAUUUAUUUUGCCCUAGAUAGCUUUUCAGUUGACUUUGGUCUUCUC